GUGCUCACUUUGGCAGCACAUAUACUAAAAUUGGAAUGAUACAGAGAAGAUUAGCAUAGCCCCUGCACAAGGAUAACACACAAAUUCAUGAAAUGUUCCAUAUUUUG
rnacentral:snRNA from 1 species